rnacentral:rRNA from 1 species
GAUGAACGCUAGCGGCAGGCUUAAUACAUGCAAGUCGAGGGGUAGCAAGAUUGUAGCAAUACAAUUGUUGACGACCGGCAAACGGGUGCGGAACAUGUACACAACCUUCCUACAAGUGGGGAAUAGCCCAGAGAAAUUUGGAUUAAUACCCCGUAACAUAGCGAUGUGGCAUCACAUUGCUAUUAUAGCUUCGGCGCUUGUUGAUGGGUGUGCGGCUGAUUAGUUAGUUGGCGGGGUAACGGCCAACCAAGUCUACGAUCAGUAGCUGAUGUGAGAGCAUGAUCAGCCACACGGGCACUGAGACACGGGCCCGACUCCUACGGGAGGCAGCAGUAAGGAAUAUUGGACAAUGGACGCAAGUCUGAUCCAGCCAUGCCGCGUGAAGGAUUAAGGUCCUCUGGAUUGUAAACUUCUUUUAUAAGGGACGAAAAAAGGUCUUUCUAGAUCGUCUGACGGUACCUUAUGAAUAAGCACCGGCUAACUCCGUGCCAGCCGCCGCAGUAAAAC